rnacentral:lncRNA from 1 species
CAAAGAUUAGCUGUCCAUAGAUGUGUGGUUUUAUCUUUGGGCUUUCAAUUCUGUUCCAUUGAUCUGUGGACCUGUUUUUGUACCAGAACCAGGUAGUAUGGACAUUUUAACUAUGUUUAUUCUUCCAAUCCAUGUGCAUGGAAUGUCUUUCCAUCUCUUUAUGUCGUCAUCAAUUUCUUUCAAGAAGUCUUGUAGUUUUCAUUGUAUAGAUCCUUCACUUCCUUGGCUAAGUUUAUCCCAAGGAGAGUCUCCUGAAAUAUUCAUGAAUGAAAUAAUACAUUGUCUGGGAUUUACUUCAGCAUAAUUGGGGAUGAGUGGAGUGGUGGCAGUAUACAUAGAACCAGAUUGGCCCUGCAGCAGAGACUUACUCAGAUGCUCCAGCCUCGCUCACCUGUGCGACAAGGGCAAUGAGGCACAGAGCCGUGGGGACACCUCCCUGAGUUCACACAGCUGUGAACCUAAGACUGCUCUAAGAAAUCAAGUCUUUGGAAAAUGUAUGGGAAGAGAAUAAUAUCAGCCCUAAAUGUCUCUCCGGCAUCAUUUACAAGAGUGAAAUUUUAGAAAUAAGCCCCAAAUCCAUCAAUAGAAGACUACAUGAAUGAAGUGGUAAAUGUAAAUAAAACAUAUACAGGCCACUUCCUGUGCUGGAGCACUGUGCGUUUACUAUAGAGAAGAAGGUCGAGCUGUGUGCACAAAUACGGA